UACGUAGGGCGCAAGCGUUAUCCGGAAUUAUUGGGCGUAAAGGGCUCGUAGGCGGUCUGUCACGUCGGGAGUGAAAACUCGGGGCUUAACCCCGAGCCUGCUUCCGAUACGGGCAGACUAGAGGUAUGCAGGGGAGAAUGGAAUUCCCGGUGUAGCGGUGAAAUGCGCAGAUAUCGGGAAGAACACCCGUGGCGAAGGCGGUUCUCUGGGACGGUACUGACGCUGAGACGCGAAAGCGUGGGGAGCGAACAGG
rnacentral:rRNA from 1 species